rnacentral:rRNA from 1 species
AGACCGGUUGAUCCUGCCGGAGGGGACCCCUAUCGGGCUCGGACUAAGCCAUGCGAGUCGGCUGGGGGCCCUUGCCCCUGGCGGCGCACGGCUCAGUAAUACACGGUCAACCUACCCUGGGGACCGGGAUAACCUCGGGAAACUGAGGCUAAUCCCGGAUAGGAGCAGGGUACUGGAAUGUCCCUGCUCCGAAAGUAGGCGGGGGGGUAGCCCCGCUGAGGCCCCAGGAUGGGACCGUGGCCUAUCAGGUAGUAGGUGGGGUAACGGCCCACCUAGCCUAAGACGGGUGCGGGCGGUGGGAGCCGGAGCCCGGAGAUGGGCACUGAGACAAGGGCCUAGGCCCUACGGGGCGAAGCAGGCGCGAAAACUCCACAAUGUGCGAAAGCAUGACGGGGCUACCCCGAGUGCCGUCUGCUGAGGACGGCUUUUCUCCGGUGUAACGAACUGGAGGCAAUAAAGGGAGGGCAAGAAUGGUGUCAGCCGCCGCGGUAAUACCAACUCCCUGAGUGGUGGGGAUGAUUAUUGGGCCUAAAGCGUCCGUAGCCGGCCUGAUUAGUCCCGCGUUAAAUCCAGCGACCUAAUCGUUGGGUUGCGGGGGAUACGGUUGGGCUUGGGAGCGGGAGAGGUUAGUGGUAUUCCCG